rnacentral:rRNA from 1 species
UACGUAGGGGCCAAGCGUUGUCCGGAUUUAUUGGGCGUAAAGAGCUCGUAGGCGGUUGGGUAAGUCGGGUGUGAAAACUCCAGGCUCAACUUGGAGAUGCCACCCGAUACUGCUCUGACUUGAGUUCGGUAGGGGAGUGGGGAAUUCCUGGUGUAGCGGUGAAAUGCGCAGAUAUCAGGAGGAACACCGGUGGCGAAGGCGGCUCUCUGGGACGGUACUGACGCUGAGACGCGAAAGCGUGGGGAGCGAACAGG